GUAGCCGGGAUGACAGGUGCACACCACCAUGCCCAGCUAAUUUUUUAUUUUUUGUAGAAAUGGGCAAGGGGAGUCUCACCAUCUUACCCAGGCUGGUCUCAAACCCAUGGGCUCAAGCGAUCCUCCUGCCUCAGCCUCCCAAAUUGCUGGGAUUACAGGCGCCUGCCACCAUGCCUGGCUAAUUUUUGUAUUUUUAGUAGAGACGGGGUUUCACCAUGUUGGCCAGGCUGGUCUCGAACUCCUGACCUCAGGUGAUCUACCUGCCUCGGCCUCCCAAAGUGCUGGGAUUACAGGCAUGAGCUCCUGUGCCCAGCUAAUUUUUGUA
rnacentral:lncRNA from 1 species